rnacentral:misc_RNA from 1 species
AUUACAUCUAGCAUUUAUUAUAUAUAUUUUAAUUGAUUUUAUAUUAGGCGCAACCCCAUAUGAUAUCCAAUGUGCUACAUUUAAACGAUAUGCAGUGAUUCACCACUCCUUUAUAUUGUGACAUAAAAGCAAGAACAGAAGUUUUAAGCGCUGCAAAUCCAAUCGACAGCGCUCAUUUCAACUCACACACUACUGAUACAGUGCACAUCAAUCUAUGAAUCCAAAAUUUUUACAUGAAAUCUGGAUCUCCUAUUCCAAGCUUGCAUGGAAUUUAGCUGCGCCUUCAUCCACUCAACCAAUUAUGACACCAGCUAAACCUAAAACAUGAUCCCUUUCUGUAAGGCCUAGAAGCCAUGUGCAAAAAAGGAAGCUCCGGAAUCUACUCUCAAGCAUAAUUAAUAAAAUGAAUAAUCCAAAGGCAUAGUUUCCUUGGAAGGCAGCCGCUCUCAUAUACAUCACAGCCACAAGUUUGUAUCCCUGCACAGCCACUUUAAUCAGAUGUUAUACACCAUACCGCCUUAGAGCUUUGCUUAAACUUGGCAUUACAUUAUAAGCCUGAUAAGAUCUUCUUAGGUCAAUAAUGGAACCCACAAUAAUCAAAACUGAUGUAAACCCUAUUGCAAAUCCCUCAUUGAUAUGACGCAAGUAAUGAUCAAGCAUGGUUGAUGUAGUUGCCAAAAUACUCAACAACAAGCCUCCCCAGAAACGUGUUGAUGCCUGAAUCUUUGUGAGGUACUCGAUGGUAGCUUUCCAAGGUUUUAUGUUUGGUAUCUGGCACCCAUCUUAUUCAAGUAGUCUGCUAUCUCCUUUGGCAAGUAGUCUGCAAUCUCCUUUGGCAAGUUUGCCUGAACAGAGGGUGUGAUUAAAUGACAAUUACAGAGAACCACCAACGAAGCCCAGAUGCAUAACUUGUAGUUGUACAAUAGUUAUUACUAUCAUUUUUCACAAUUAUUUGUCAUUCAAAUUUUACAAAUUAGUACCAUAACUUUGACAGUAUAUUUUAGUUGAUUAGCAUUAUAGGUUGGCUUACAUGCAUUUACUGAUGGCAUUAAUCUUCCAGGUCAUGUAAAUAGAAGAUAAGACAGCAGUGAUCAGAAGUAUGAGUAUGCUAAAUCCAUGUUUCCAUGGAAAGGAACACAUAAGCGUUAUAGUAGCAAGCAAGCAUUUAGUGGCUCCAAAUUUAACACAAAAACAUAAAAAAACCACAAAUUCCUAACACAAGGACCGAAAGAAAAAGUCUGAUGGUUUGUACUAUUUCACUGAUUAUAACCACAAGAAAGUUGCAAAUUGCAAUGAGAUUCAACACAAAAUGGGAUCAAAUAUACAAUAAUGACAUACAAUUUGGUGACUAAAAUACAUUUAAAUUGUAAACUAGCUCAAAAAAGCAAAAAAACCUGCACAAGUACUGAUACUAAUAUCUUAGGGCUGAUUCCAAGCUGAAAAAAUGACAGUUUUAAGCUCUGCUCUUAAAUCACCAAGUUCAUCUGCCAAAAGCAAAAUGGACAACUACUCACAUAAAAGAAAAUAGAAACUAAACAUCUAGAAGAUUUGAGCAGACAAAAAGAAAUGCAACAUCUUGUCUGCUAUUAAAUGUUAUAUUUGUUUGCUGGUGGGGAUAUGUGUCUAUUCUUGCUUAGAAUAACCCACCAAAAGAUCCUGAGAUAAGGCUAAUGUAACUUUGGGGCAUCAAGUUUCUAUCAAAACCAGGCAGAGGAAUAUAAUAUCCAACAUGACUGAUUACAAUUAGUAAAGCAGUCACAAAUAACCUCCUCCGUAUCUUACUCUUAAAAAAUGAUUCAGAAGCAUUAUUGAGAACAAAACUUAUGAGUACGAAAUUAAGAAACCUGUUCCGAAACAUUUUACGUUGGGACUGAAAAGUAUUAAAGUUACUGGCAUCAUGAAAACUAAGAAGAGCUGGAGCAGCCCCAGCAUCAGCUCUUGGUGAUACAGCUCCUUGUGGAGACAAUGGCUCGGCAUUCAGAUAGUCACUUUGGAGCUGAUCAGAUAAGUUUAUGGUGAAUUUCUUUUGCUUGAUGGAAAAGGCCUUUUGUGCAACCAAAAACUGCUUCUGCUUGAUUCUACUACAUUUGUCUUGAUAGAAACAUAAGUUCUUGCACGUAAGGGUUGGCACAGUUGAAUAUUAUACUGUCUGCAUUUACCUCUAAUUUUUCCUGGUCUGGUACCAAACGGGACGUGAGUGAAGCAAAGAGUUGCUUCCAUCGGGCUGCAAGUGCGGCGCUAGUCUGCUACGUAUUCUGUUCCUGUUCACUCCAAAUAUCUCAUCCGCAAAUAUGAAGCGCGCAAUUUCUAGUGUCUUCUCUCAUUUAUGUACAGGGUCCACAAAGUGGCCAAGCUAAACCCGCAGUGCUGACGUGUCAAACAGUAAUAAGCCCUAACCCCUACUCCUCCUCCUUAUAACCCAAAGCGUUCGCCACUCCGCUUCUCCGCCUCGUCCGUCUCCACCGCCUUCUCGUCCUCUGUAAAUUAAUAUACAAUUAUUGUAUACGUAUAUUCCGAUAUCGACAAACGCCGGAUCACCACCAUGAAGUUCCAAAUCGAGGACGUGACUGUCUACUUCCCGUACGAUAAUAUUUAUCCGGAGCAAUACUCUUAUAUGGUCGAGCUAAAGCGUGCCCUGGACGCCAAGGGCCACUGCCUCCUGGAAAUGCCUACGGGAACUGGAAAGACCAUAGCGCUUCUAUCUUUGAUCACCAGCUACUCUCUUUCCAAGCCCCAGAGCCAAGUGAAGCUAAUCUACUGUACGCGCACCGUGCACGAGAUGGAGAAAACCCUCGCCGAGCUCAAACUGUUGCACAAUUACCAAAUCAAGCAUUUGGGACCUGCCGCGGGGAUUUUGGCUAUCGGAUUGUCGUCGAGGAAGAAUCUCUGCGUGAAUCCGACGGUAUUGACCGCAGAGAAUCGGGAUUCGGUGGAUGCCGCUUGUAGGAAGCUGACGGCUAGUUGGGUUAGGGCUUUGGCCGCAGAGAAUCCCAAUGUACCGACUUGUGAGUUUUUUGAGAACUAUGAGAGGGCGGCGUCCUCAGCAGUAUUGCCACCUGGAGUUUACACGCUUCAGGCACGAAAUUCGGUUUUUACCUGAUCAAUUUGAGUUCGAGUUAUUGAAUUGUUUUGUUAUAAUUAUGUGGUUAUGAAUAAUUACAAUGUGGUGGGUGCAUUUGGGAAGUGGAUUUUGAAUAUUUUUGCUUGAUUCUAUUGCUAAUUGUGUUCUGCGUUUCACUGGAUUGAUGAAUGCCAAUGAUAUGUAGCCUGUUUACUUGGACCUUACUAGGACAGAAUUUAAAUUCUUCCCUUAUUUCAAAGUUUUAGAAUUUAUCUCAAAAUUUUCUGUGGCCAAAAAAAGAAUAGAAC